CGUGAUGGCUUAGACGGUAGAGCGUUGGACUAGUGGUUCAAAGGUCACGGGUUCAAUUCC
rnacentral:tRNA from 1 species